rnacentral:rRNA from 1 species
AAACCCAAAAGAUCGAAUGGGGAGAUUCAUCGUCAGCUCAUUUUGUAUAUAUGCAAGUUAUGAUGUGAGUUACUACUUGUAGUAUUGCUUAUACAUUCUUGUAUAUUUAUAAGCAAGAUGUGGUCGGCGUGCACUUCUCCCCUAGUAGGACGUCGCGACCCGUUGAGUGUCGGUUUAUGGCCUGAGUGGUAGCCUUUAAUAAAUUUCAUUUGUUGAAGACCCUCGGUGUUUCCUGACCGACUGCUCGGCGGUACUCGUACGGUAUGAAGCCGCAAAUAAUAUGCGUCCAUAUCCGUCACAAGUGAGGACUUUUGUAAGUAAUACGGACCUAGUGCCGUCACUUCAAUUGGCCUACUGUUGGUUGUCGGUAUUCUAGGACUGGCUUGAAUAAAUACCGGUCUGCGAUGCUACUGCUUUGGGUACUUUCAGGACCCGUCUUGAAACACGGACCAAGGAGUCUAACAUGUGCGCGAGUCAUUGGGUUAUAUUUAAAAUUAAACCUAAAGGCGCAAUGAAAGUAAAAGUUGGAUUACGUCGACCGAGGGAGGAUGAGUUAUGUUAAAAUAUAGCUCCGCACUCCCGGGGCGUCUCAUUUUCAUUACGAAAAGAGGCGCACCUAG